UGAGGAAUCUUCGGCAAUGGGGCGAACCUACGACGAGCGACGCCGCGUGCGGGAUGACGGCCUUCGGGUCGUAAACCGCUUUUGGGUGGGACGAGACACAGGACGGUACCACCCCAAGAAGUCUCGGCUAACUACGUGCCAGCAGCCGCGGUAAUACGUAGGAGGCGAGCGUUGUCCGGAGUUACUGGGCGUAAAGGGUGCGCAGGCGGUUGGACGCGUCCGUGCUGAAAUCUGUCCGCUUACCGGGCAGGGAGUA
rnacentral:rRNA from 1 species